UACAUAGGGGGCAAGCGUUAUCCGGAAUUAUUGGGUGUAAAGGGUGCGUAGACGGAGAUGCAAGUUGGUUGUGAAAUCCCUCGGCUCAACUGAGGAACUGCAACCAAAACUACAUCCCUUGAGUGUCGGAGGGGAAAGUGGAAUUCCUAGUGUAGCGGUGAAAUGCGUAGAUAUUAGGAGGAACACCGGUGGCGAAGGCGACUUUCUGGACGAUAACUGACGUUGAGGCACGAAAGCGUGGGGAGCAAACAGG
rnacentral:rRNA from 1 species